UACGUAGGGUGCAAGCGUUGUCCGGAAUUAUUGGGCGUAAAGAGCUCGUAGGCGGCUUGUCGCGUCUGCUGUGAAAAUCCGGGGCUUAACUCCGGACCUGCAGUGGAUACGGGCAGGCUUGAGUUCGGUAGGGGAGACUGGAAUUCCUGGUGUAGCGGUGAAAUGCGCAGAUAUCAGGAGGAACACCGGUGGCGAAGGCGGGUCUCUGGGCCGAUACUGACGCUGAGGAGCGAAAGCGUGGGGAGCGAACAGG
rnacentral:rRNA from 1 species